UACGUAGGGGGCUAGCGUUGUCCGGAAUCAUUGGGCGUAAAGCGCGUGUAGGCGGUCCGGUAAGUCCGCUGUGAAAGUCGGGGGCUCAACCCUCGAAUGCCGGUGGAUACUAUCGGGCUAGAGUACGGAAGAGGCGAGUGGAAUUCCUGGUGUAGCGGUGAAAUGCGCAGAUAUCAGGAGGAACACCAAUUGCGAAGGCAGCUCGCUGGGACGUUACUGACGCUGAGACGCGAAAGCGUGGGGAGCAAACAGG
rnacentral:rRNA from 1 species